rnacentral:rRNA from 1 species
CUGUGUGUUGUUGGGUAGGGGAGCGUUCUGUAAGCCUGUGAAGGUGGCCUGUGAGGGUUGCUGGAGGUAUCAGAAGUGCGAAUGCUGACAUAAGUAACGAUAAAGCGGGUGAAAAGCCCGCUCGCCGGAAGACCAAGGGUUCCUGUCCAACGUUAAUCGGGGCAGGGUGAGUCGACCCCUAAGGCGAGGCCGAAAGGCGUAGUCGAUGGGAAACGGGUUAAUAUUCCCGUACUUGGUGUUACUGCGAAGGGGGGACGGAGAAGGCUAUGUUGGCCGGGCGACGGUUGUCCCGGUUUAAGCGUGUAGGCUGGUUUUCCAGGCAAAUCCGGAAAAUCAAGGCUGAGGCGUGAUGACGAGGCACUACGGUGCUGAAGCAACAAAUGCCCUGCUUCCAGGAAAAGCCUCUAAGCAUCAGGUAACAUCAAAUCGUACCCCAAACCGACACAGGUGGUCAGGUAGAGAAUACCAAGGCGCUUGAGAGAACUCGGGUGAAGGAACUAGGCAAAAUGGUGCCGUAACUUCGGGAGAAGGCACGCUGACACGUAGGUGAAGUGAUUUACUCAUGGAGCUGAAGUCAGUCGAAGAUACCAGCUGGCUGCAACUGUUUAUUAAAAACACAGCACUGUGCAAACACGAAAGUGGACGUAUACGGUGUGACGCCUGCCCGGUGCCGGAAGGUUAAUUGAUGGGGUCAGCGCAAGCGAAGCUCCUGAUCGAAGCCCCGGUAAACGGCGGCCGUAACUAUAACGGUCCUAAGGUAGCGAAAUUCCUUGUCGGGUAAGUUCCGACCUGCACGAAUGGCGUAAUGAUGGCCAGGCUGUCUCCACCCGAGACUCAGUGAAAUUGAACUCGCUGUGAAGAUGCAGUGUACCCGCGGCAAGACGGAAAGACCCCGUGAACCUUUACUAUAGCUUGACACUGAACAUUGAGCCUUGAUGUGUAGGAUAGGUGGGAGGCUUUGAAGUGUGGACGCCAGUCUGCAUGGAGCCGACCUUGAAAUACCACCCUUUAAUGUUUGAUGUUCUAACGUGGACCCGUUACCCGGGUUGCGGACAGUGUCUGGUGGGUAGUUUGACUGGGGCGGUCUCCUCCUAAAGAGUAACGGAGGAGCACGAAGGUUGGCUAAUCCUGGUCGGACAUCAGGAGGUUAGUGCAAUGGCAUAAGCCAGCUUGACUGCGAGCGUGACGGCGCGAGCAGGUGCGAAAGCAGGUCAUAGUGAUCCGGUGGUUCUGAAUGGAAGGGCCAUCGCUCAACGGAUAAAAGGUACUCCGGGGAUAACAGGCUGAUACCGCCCAAGAGUUCAUAUCGACGGCGGUGUUUGGCACCUCGAUGUCGGCUCAUCACAUCCUGGGGCUGAAGUAGGUCCCAAGGGUAUGGCUGUUCGCCAUUUAAAGUGGUACGCGAGCUGGGUUUAGAACGUCGUGAGACAGUUCGGUCCCUAUCUGCCGUGGGCGCUGGAGAACUGAGGGGGGCUGCUCCUAGUACGAGAGGACCGGAGUGGACGCAUCACUGGUGUUCGGGUUGUCAUGCCAAUGGCACUGCCCGGUAGCUAAAUGCGGAAGAGAUAAGUGCUGAAAGCAUCUAAGCACGAAACUUGCCCCGAGAUGAGUUCUCCCUGAGACUUAGAGUCUCCUGAAGGAACGUUGAAGACGACGACGUUGAUAGGCCGGGUGUGUAAGCGCAGCGAUGCGUUGAGCUAACCGGUACUAAUGAACCGUGAGGCUUAACCUUACAAC